rnacentral:rRNA from 1 species
CAGCAGCCACGGGAAUACGAAGGGUGCAAGCGUUAAUCGGAAUUACUGGGCGUAAAGCGUGCGUAGGCGGUUUGUUAAGUCUGCUGUGAAAUCCCCGGGCUCAACCUGGGAAUGGCAGUGGAUACUGGCAAGCUAGAGUGUGUCAGAGGAUGGUGGAAUUUCCUGUGUAGCGGUGAAAUGCGUAGAUAUAGGAAGGAACAUCAGUGGCGAAGGCGACCACCUGGACUGAUACUGACACUGAGGUGCGAAAGCGUGGGGAGCAAACAGGAUUAGAUACCCGCGUAGUCCCUGUCUCUUAUAC